rnacentral:rRNA from 1 species
AACGAACGCUGGCGGCAGGCUUAACACAUGCAAGUCGAAGGAGAUAUUCGGAUCUAGUGGCAGACCGGCGAGGAACACGUGGGGAGAUCCCUUUCAGUUCGGUAUAACGUUGGGAAACGAACGCUAAUACGGGAUACGUCCUUCGGUGCUAAGAUUUGCUGCUGAAAGAUUGGCCAGCGGCUGAUUAGCUAGUUGGUGAGGUAAUGGCUCAGCAAGGCUGCGGUCAGUAGCUGAUCUGAGAGGAUGAUCGGCACAUAGGGACUGAGACACGGCCCAAACUCCUACGGGAGGCAGCAGUGGGGAAUAUUGGACAAUGGGCGCAAGCCUGAUCCAGCCAUGCCGCGUGAGUGAUGAAGGCCUUCGGGUUGUAAAGCUCUUUUAUCCGGGAAGAUAAUGACUGUACCGGAAGAAUAAGCCCCGGCAAACUUCGUGCCAGCAGCCGCCGUAA